rnacentral:rRNA from 1 species
UAGGGAAUCUUCGGCAAUGGACGAAAGUCUGACCGAGCAACGCCGCGUGAGUGAAGAAGGUUUUCGGAUCGUAAAACUCUGUUGUUAGAGAAGAACAAGGACGUUAGUAACUGAACGUCCCCUGACGGUAUCUAACCAGAAAGCCACGGCUAACUACUUGCCAGCAGCCGCGGUAAUACGUAGGUGGCAAGCGUUGUCCGGAUUUAUUGGGCGUAAAGCGAGCGCAGGCGGUUUCUUAAGUCUGAUGUGAAAGCCCCCGGCUCAACCGGGGAGGGUCAUUGGAAACUGGGAGACUUGAGUGCAGAAGGGGAGAGUGGAAUUCCAUGUGUAGCGGUGAAAUGCGUAGAUAUAUGGAGGAACACCAGUGGCGAAGGCGGCUCUCUAGUCUGUAACUGACGCUGAGGCUCGAAAGCGUGGGGAGCAAACAGG